rnacentral:lncRNA from 1 species
UGAGCUCCUCUCUCUCUCUCUCUCUCUCUCUCGAUUAUUUUCCCAGGCAACAAACACAGAGAAACUUGGCUUCUCCAAACAUAAACAAAUGAAUAAUCUGAUCCAUCUCACACUCACACUCUUGAUUCUACUCCAGUGAGGCAACCGACGAAGCCGGCAUCCCGAUUUCUCCGGCGAGGUGCACACCAACCGCACGACACCCCCUGUUACAUGUAGAGCUGACCACCACCAUCGGGUGGUGGUGAGUGACGUUGGACCGAGAAGUGAGAGAAGCCAGAGGGAAGAGAGACCGGAGAAGGAUGGCGACGGUGGCAGACGGCGCCGCUGUCUGUGGCGGGGCGACGGUGCUGAGCGACGGCGAAAGAGAGAGAGAGGCAGAAGUAUAGAGAGACGAUUCAGAGAGAAGGGGAAACGGCGGAGCCGUUAGGUCAGCGGCGGCGACGGAGGAGACGGCUGCGGAGCUUCGAUGACAGGUCUUUCCGAUGGCUUUGGGUCAGGUUCGGUCGGUCAACAAGUCAACAGAUUUGGAGUUCGGUUGAGUGUUUAGCUCAACUCGGUUUGACUCGGUCAACCGAGUCAACUCAGUCAACAGAGAUGUUCGGGACAGAUUCGGUUCGGUCAGGCGGCUCGGGCAGGCGGUUCGGUUAACUCAGUCUGCGAGUCGAUUCGGGACAAGACAAGUCCACUCGGUUUGGUCGGUUCGGGUCAGAUUAGGAAGCGGUUCAGUUGACCCGGUCAAACUCGGUCAAACUCAGUCAACUCAGUGAGUUGACUCGGUCAGCUCGGCUUUCGACACGAGAAGAUGGGAUAUUGUAGAAUGCACGCUAGCAAGCCACGUCUUGGAAACGACAUCAUCAAAGUCGUAAUUAGCUAGCUUUGCAC